CCUUGUACAAACUUGCGUUGACAUUCUACUGUAAAAUGUAAAAACUUCCAGAACCAUUAUGUGUUUUGGAUAGAGCCAAAAUGAUAAAAGUUUGUGGAUAAUGUUCGUUGAUAAAUUGCAAUGUGUUAGAUGCUGAUCGACUUUGUCAUACUAACUCAUACUCAUACUAAGAGAUGCAAGCAACAACAAGUUUCCUGAAGAAUGUUCCAGCCCGAGAGUUAGAAACAAUGUGUUUGUAUAAGUUGUGGAAUAUCUUUGUGAAGGCAUACAAGAGGACAAAAUCACAGGCCAUAGGCUUAUGGAAAGAAAUAAAGAGUGACAUAUCUCCAAGACAGAUGCUUGAUGGAUGCCCAUGUAUGCGUUGUUUGCAGAAUGAGCUCACCUCAAAUGCAUUAAUACCUAGCGAACAUAAGAGCUGUGUUAAGUGUGCCAUUGCAUUGUAUGUAGCUAUUUAUGUUCAUAGAUGUUGUUAAACUAUGAGCUUAAAUCACUUUAUAAUUUAUAUUAUCAUGUCAUUAAAUAAUUAAAAAGCUAGUUAGGAACAUAA